CCGACCUUAGCUCAGUUGGUAGAGCGGAGGACUGUAGUCGUUCGCAGAUAAAUCCUUAGGUCGCUGGUUCGAAUCCGGCAGGUCGGA
rnacentral:tRNA from 2 species